rnacentral:misc_RNA from 1 species
UCAGAAAUUAGGGUUAGCUUUUGGAUUUUUUUCUCUUACUUUCUUAUAGCCACUCCUCCGAGUCCAGAUGCAGCCAAACCUGUGAUUUGGCUCUGGCAUCGUACUACGUUUAGACGGGAGAUACGUUAUCGGUCGUAGCCGAGAAGUUCAAAUCGGAAAUCUUGCAAUCGGCUGAUACAAUUGUCAAUUACAACAGGGAAAAAAUGGGGAGUAGUGACAGUGUCCAAGCCUUCAUCAGAAUCAACAUUUCCUUCCCCUGCAACUGCAUCAAAGAUGAAUUCCUCGGCCACACGUUCCACUGCAAUAUUGAAAGUGGCGACACCUAUGCAUCCAUCGUCAAGAAGAGCUAUUCCAACUUGACCACGAUUAACUGGUUAGAGCAGUUCAAUAGCUAUACGGCGACCAAUAUAUCGGACGACGGUGUGCUUAAUGUCACCGUGAGUUGCUUAUGUGGAGAUAGUUCGAUUUCCAAGGAUUAUGGAUUGUUUAUUACCUACCCUCUCCGGCCUGGAGAUAUUCUGGAGUCGAUUGCGAGUGAGUCAAAUAUUACUACUGACAUGCUGUGGAGAUACAAUAUUGACGUGGACUUUUAUGCAGGGACCGGUUUUGUUUACGUUCCAGGCAAAGAUUUAGAGACUAGAGGAG